ACAACGAACUGUGAGAAGUCAGCAGAAGCCAUAGUACCGGAAAAAAACCGGGAAGGGC
rnacentral:ncRNA from 1 species